CUCUCGCUGCCCGGCGGGGAGGGGGUGGGGGGAGGGCCCGGGAAAAGGGGGAGUUGGAGCCGCCGAAACGCCGCGUGACUUGUAGGUGAGAGAACGCCGAGCCAUCGCCGCAGCCUCCGCCGAGAAGCCCUUGUUCCCGCUGCUGGGAAGGAGAGUCUGUGCCGACAAGAUGGCGGACGGGGAGCUGAACGUGGACAGCCUCAUCACCCGGCUGCUGGAGGUACGAGGAUGUCGUCCAGGAAAGAUUGUGCAGAUGACUGAAGCAGAAGUUCGGGGCUUAUGUAUCAAGUCUCGGGAGAUCUUUCUCAGCCAGCCUAUUCUUUUGGAAUUGGAAGCACCGCUGAAAAUUUGUGGAGAUAUUCAUGGACAAUAUACGGAUUUAUUGAGAUUAUUUGAAUAUGGAGGUUUCCCACCAGAAGCAAACUAUCUUUUCUUAGGAGAUUAUGUGGACAGAGGAAAGCAGUCUUUGGAAACCAUUUGUUUGCUAUUGGCUUAUAAAAUCAAAUAUCCAGAGAACUUCUUUCUCUUAAGAGAAAACCAUGAGUGUGCUAGCAUCAAUCGCAUUUAUGGAUUCUAUGAUGAAUGCAAACGAAGAUUUAAUAUUAAAUUGUGGAAGACCGUCACUGAUUUUUUUAACUGUCUGCCUAUAGCAGCCAUUGUGGAUGAGAAGAUCUUCUGUUGUCAUGGAGGACUGUCACCAGACCUGCAAUCUAUGGAGCAGAUUCGGAGAAUUAUGAGACCUACUGAUGUCCCUGAUACAGGUUUGCUCUGUGAUCUGCUAUGGUCUGACCCAGAUAAGGAUGUGCAAGGCUGGGGAGAAAAUGAUCGUGGUGUUUCCUUUACUUUUGGAGCUGAUGUAGUCAGUAAAUUUCUGAAUCGUCAUGAUUUAGAUUUGAUUUGUCAAGCUCAUCAGGUGGUGGAAGAUGGAUAUGAAUUUUUUGCUAAACGACAGUUGGUAACCUUAUUUUCAGCCCCAAAUUACUGUGGCGAGUUUGAUAAUGCUGGUGGAAUGAUGAGUGUGGAUGAAACUUUGAUGUGUUCAUUUCAGAUAUUGAAACCAUCUGAAAAGAAAGCUAAGUACCAGUAUGGUGGACUGAAUUCUGGACGUCCUGUCACUCCACCUCGAACAGCUAAUCCACCGAAGAAAAGGUGAAGAAAGGAAUUCUGUAAAGAAACCGUCAGAUUUGUUAAGGACAUACGUCAUAAUAUGUAAGUGUGCACUGUAAAACCAUCCAGCCAUUUGACACCCUUUAUGAUGUCACACCUUUAACUUAAGGAGACGGGUAAAGGAUCUUAAAUUUUUUUCUAAUAGAAAGAUGUGCUACACUGUAUUGUAAUAAGUAUACUCUGUUAUAGUCAACAAAGUUAAAUCCAAAUUCAAAAUUAUCCAUUAAAGUUACAUCUUCAUGUAUCACAAUUUUUAAAGUUGAAGAGCAUCCCAGUUAAACUAGAUGUGAUAGUUAAACCAGAUGAAAGCAUGAUGAUCCAUCUGUGUAAUGUGGUUUUAGUGUUGCUUGGUUGCUUAAUUAUUUUGAGCUUGUUUUGUUUUUGUUUGUUUGUUUUUGCUAGAACAAUGGCACAUACUUCUAAUUUUUUUCCCUAAACAUUUUUAAAAGUGAAAUAUGGGAAGAGCUUUACAGACAUUCACCAACUAUUAUUUUCCCUUGCUUAUCUACUUAGAUAUCUGUUUAAUCUUACUAAGAAAACUUACGCCUCAUUACAUUAAAAAGGAAUUUUAGAGAUUGAUUGUUUUAAAAAACGCACAUUGUCCAAUCCAGUGAUUUUAAUCAUACAGUUUGACUGGGCAAACUUUACAGCUGAUAGUGAAUAUUUUGCUUUAUACAGGAAUCGCCACUGAUUGGGAUUUGUGCACUCUAAUUUUUAACUUAUUGAUGCUCUAUUGUGCAGUAGCAUUUCAUUUAACUUUAAGAUAAGGCUCAUUAGUAUUACCCAACUAGUUGGUAAUGUGAUUAUGUGGUACCUUGGCUUUAGGUUUCCAUUCGCACGGAGUACCUUUUGGCAUGCUUAACUUCCUGGUAACACCUUCACCUGCAUUGGUUUUUUUUUUUUUUUUUUUUUUGAGUUUUUUCUUUUUUUUUUUUUUGAGUUGUUGUUGUUGUUGUUUGUUUUUAGAUCAACAGUACAUGAGAAUCAUUUUUUGACAAGCCUUGGAAAGCUGACACUCUCUCUUUUUCCUCCCUCUAUACAAAGGAUGUAUUUAAAUGAAUGCUGAUCAGUGGGACAUUUUGUCAACUAUGGGUAUUGGGUGCUUAACUGUCUAAUAUUGCCAUGUGAAUGUUGUAUACGAUUGUAAGGCUUAUGUCACUAAAGAUUUUUAUUCUGAUUUUUUCAUAAUCAAAGGUCAUAUGAUAUUGUAUAGACAUGCUUUAUAGUGAACUAUAGUAGCAAUAAUUUCUGUACCUGAUCAAGAGUUUAUUGCAGCCUUUCUUUUCCUAUUCUUUCUUUUUUUUAAGGGUUAGUAUUAACAAAUGGCAACGUGUAGAAAAGUUAACAUGA